CCCCCGAUGGUCUAGUUGGUUCAUGGCGUCUGACUGUAAUAUUGUAUUGUGAUCAGAAAGUCACCAGUUCGAUUCUGGUUCGGGGGA
rfam:Aspergillus carbonarius ITEM 5010 unplaced genomic scaffold ASPCAscaffold_23, whole genome shotgun sequence.